GGUCCCAGUCUCGAACUGGUGUCACUGGGAGAGCCCCAGUCCCAAACUGGGAGGGUCUGAGGUUCAAACUGGGAGCACUGGGAGGGUCCCAGUCCCAAACUGGGAGGGUCCAAGGCUCAAACUGGGAGCACUGGGAGGGUCCCAGUCCCAAACUGGGAGCACUGGGAAGGUCUCAGUCCCAAACUGGGAGCGUCCCAGUCCCAAACUGGGAGCACUGGAGGGUCCCAAUCCCAGACUGGGAGCACUGGGAGGGUCCCAGUCCCAGACUGGUGUCACUGGGGUGUCACUGGGAGGGUCCCAGUCUCAAACUGGGAGGGUGCCAGGUUCAAACUGGGAGCACUGGGAGGGUUCCAGUCCCAAACUGGGAGGGUCCAAGGUUCAAACUGGGAGAGUCCCAGUCCCAGACUGGUGUCACAGGGGUGUCACUGGUGUCACUGGUCCGUUACUGGUGUCACUGGUGCUGUCCCUGGCUCUGUCCAUGGCUCUGUUACUGGUGUUACUGGUGUCACUGGUGUGUCACUGGUGUUACUGGUGUUACUGGUGUCACUGGUCCGUUACUGGUGUCACUGGUGCUGUCCCUGUCCCUAUCCCUGUCCCUGGUGUCAACUGGUGUCACUGGUGUCACUGGUCCGUUACUGGUGUCACUGGUGCUGUCCCUGCUGUCCCUGUCCCUGGUGUCACUGGUGCCGUUACUGGUGCCGUUACUGGUGUUACUGGUGUCACUGGUGCCGUUACUGGUGUCACUGGUGUCCCUGUCCCUGGCCGAGCCGCGCGGCCUCGCUGCGGAUCAGCGCGAUCAGUUCGUGGUUGAUGAGGAACACGAAGCGCAGGCUGGCGAUCUGGGGGGGCACGGCC
rnacentral:lncRNA from 1 species